UACGAAGGGUGCAAGCGUUACUCGGAAUUACUGGGCGUAAAGGCGUGCGUAGGCGGUUGUUAAGUCCGUUGUGAAAGCCCUGGGCUCAACCUGGGAAUUGCAGUGGAUACUGGCAAGCUAGAGUUCGGGAGAGGAGAGUGGAAUUCCCAGUGUAGAGGUGAAAGUUCGUAGAUAUUGGGAAGAAGCACCGGUGGGCGAAGGCGGCUCUCUGGACC
rnacentral:rRNA from 1 species